rnacentral:rRNA from 1 species
AGUCAACCUACCCUAUGGACGGGAAUAAUCUCGGGAAACUGAGGAUAAUUCCAGAUAGAACACUAUGCCUGGAACGGUUUGUGUUCCAAAUGAUUUAUCGCCGUAGGAUGGGACUGCGUCCUAUCAGUUUGUUGGUGAGGUAAUGGCCCACCAAGGCUAUUACAGGUACGGGCUCUGAGAGGAGUAGCCCGGAGAUGGGUACUGAGACACGGACCCAGGCCCUAUGGGGCGCAGCAGGCGAGAAAACUUUGCAAUGUGCGAAAGCACGACAAGGUUAAUCCGAGUGGUUCCUGCUAAAGGAACCUUUUGACGGUCCUAAAAACACCGUUGAAUAAGGGGUGGGCAAGUUCUGGUGUCAGCCGCCGCGGUAAAACCAGCACCUCAAGUGGUCAGGAUGAUUAUUGGGCCUAAAGCAUCCGUAGCCGGCUCUGUGAGUUUUCGGUUAAAUCUGUGCGCUCAACGUACAGGCUGCCGGGAAUACUGCAGAGCUAGGGAGUGGGAGAGGUAGACGGUACUUGGUAGGAAGGGGUAAAAUCCUUUGAUCUAUUGAUGACCACCUGUGGCGAAGGCGGUCUACCAGAACACGUCCGACGGUGAGGGAUGAAAGCUGGGGGAGCAAACCGGAUUAGAUACCCGGGUAGUCCCAGCUGUAAACCAUGCAAACUCAAUGAUGCAUUGGCUUGAAGCCAAUGCAGUGUU